UUGAGUGGAUCUGACCUUAGUACGAGAGGACCGGGUUGGACCAACCGCUGGUGUACCAGUUGUCUCGCCAGGGGCACUGCUGGGUAGCUAUGUUGGGAAGGGAUAAGCGCUGAAAGCAUCUAAGCGCGAAACCCACCACAAGAUGAGGCUUCUUUUAAGGGAUGUUCUAGAUGAGGACGUUGAUAGGCUACAGGUCUAA
rnacentral:rRNA from 1 species